CGGGGCGUGGGGGAGUCUGGUUGUCCCCGCCGGCCUUGGAAGCCGUGAGACCGCAGGUUCAAAUCCUGCCGCCCCGACCA
rnacentral:tRNA from 1 species